CCAGUGCUCGAGAUAGACGCACUGCCAUGUGAAACACAAUUCACUUGAAUCACGUCAGAGUGUACCUGCCUGAGAAACUUCAAGAAAGCUUUUAGUGAUAGGUCCAGUUCCUGGACCUGGUGUCAGUCCCUGAUGGCAAGGCAGACACCAUCGUUUCCGCCAUCCCAAGGAGGUGCUGCACAUCAAAAACUUACCAGCAGAGAGAUUGUACGGCCUGGGCACUGAUGGGGCUGCAGUGAUGACUGGACAACAUAGUGGUGUGGCAAAACAGCUAAAGGAUGCCUUCCGGUGGAUGGUGUCUGUGGCUUGUGCUGCCCACCGCCUUGCUCUAGCCUGUAAAUAUGCAUCAGCUGAGGUCCCCUAUAUGGACACUUUUAAGGAGCACCUGCAGCAGCUCCAUAGUUACUUUUCCAAAAGCAGUAACAAGACAGAAUUCUUGAAAGCUGCUUCAGCGAUCCUGGGCCUUCAGUACUUAAAAGUGAAGGAAGUACAGGAUGUUCGCUGGCUGUCCCAGCACCUGGCCGUGGAUAAUCUUCAGUGAAACCUCAGCGCAGUGUUGGCUGCAUUGGCAGAGGAGCUGGAGGUGAACCGGUGCCCAACUGCUAAGGGCCGCUACACUUUCUGUGCCAUGUACAGGACUUGGACCAUGCCAUCUCAACCUUAUUUCAUGUCCUUAGAGGGCGAUGUUACUCCAAGAUGUUUUUAAGAACAAUCAAGAACAGCACGUUGGCGGCUCUCCCUCCCAUUCAGCCAACACAAGCAUACAACACAAACCUAUCCAAUUCUGUCUGAACCCAACCCUACCCAACCCUGGCUUAUCACCUUACCCAACCCUGUCCCAUACCCCAACCAAGGUUCGCAUCCCGCUCGCACUCCCACCCCCAAUCCUAACCUUAACCCUUACCCUAACCAGGGUUCGCAUCCCUCUCCCAACCCUAACCCUAACCCUAACCAGGGUUCAUAUCCCGCUCCCACUCCCAACCCUAAACACACUUGUAUCCUUCUCCUAACGCGCUAACCCUUACCCCAACCAGGGUUGGUAUCCUGCUCCCACCACCGACCCCUAACCCCUAACCCCAACCCUCCCACAGAUGGGGACACUGACACCCUUCUAAACAACAGCUGGCCCCUAUCCCCUUCAUCUUUCUCCUCAUCAUCCCAUCAGCACAAAAUACUAAUCCCCUUGGUAUCAACAUUUUCACAUAGAGUCAGACCCCUACAUCAAGCAAUAAAACACAACUUCUCCAGGUUCACCCACCCCUUCAACCUUACAGAAUAAUUUCAGCAUUCAGGAAUAACAAAAAUCUCAAAUAUUUACUCACCCAGGCAAAGUUCAGGAACAUACCACCACAACCCCCACUACAGACAGAGAAAAUGAAUUGCCAAUCCCCACAGCAACACCUCUGCCCCGAUCACAGACAACCUUUCCCUCAGCACCUCCAAUGUUAUCUAUAUUGUCACCUGUACACUAUGAAAUAAACAUUAUAAAUCAGUCAAACAAAACCUACAAUAGAAACCCAGUUGAAACAACAUCUGUACAACAUCAAACGAGCACAAUUACAUACAGUACUGGUUAAUCACUUUCAAGAUCACCCCAUCACCAAUCACAGUGUAUCGGGUCUGCAGGCGGGUCCGGGGACAGCAGAACACAUUUGGAUAAGAGUUUUAAAAACCAUUACACCAGAGGGUUUAAAUGAAAAACAUACUCCAUACUCACAUUUGAAAUGUUUGGGUGGCCUACCCUUAGUGAUGGAGGAAGAAUGGAAGAAUCCAAUAGUGGAUGUUAUCGGUGUGCUCCUGCACUUGAAUUGUUUGUUGAUUUUUGUAGUCCUUUUGGUUUUAAAAGUAUCUGAAUCCCCUGUUAAAAAAAGGGUGUCCAAAAAGUCAUCAAAAAUUGUUUACAAAUAUACAAAUAAAAAGCGCUGCCUGA